rnacentral:rRNA from 1 species
UACGUAGGGGGCAAGCGUUGUCCGGAUUUAUUGGGCGUAAAGAGCGUGUAGGCGGCCAGAUAGGUCCGUUGUGAAAACUCGAGGCUUAACCUCGAGCUGUCGGCGGAAACCAUCUGGCUAGAGUCCGGAAGAGGAGAAUGGAAUUCCCGGUGUAGCGGUGAAAUGCGCAGAUAUCAGGAAGAACACCCGUGGCGAAGGCGGUUCUCUGGGACGGUACUGACGCUGAGACGCGAAAGCGUGGGGAGCGAACAGG